AUUGAACGCUGGCGGCAGGCCUAACACAUGCAAGUCGGACGAGCGGCGGACGGGUGAGUAAUGUAUGGGGAUCUGCCUGAUGGCGGGGGAUAACUACUGGAAACGGUAGCUAAUACCGCAUACCAUCAGAUGAACCCAGAUGGGAUUAGCUAGUAGGUACGGUAACGGCUCACCUAGGCGACGAUCCCUAGCUGGUCUGAGAGGAUGAUCAGCAACGUGGUGACGGUGACACGUGCCAGACUCCUACGGGAGGCAGCAGUGGGGAAUAUUGCACAAUGGGCGCAAGCCUGAUGCAGCCAUGCCGCGUGUAUGAAGAAGGCCUUCGGGUUGUAAAGUACUUUCAGUGGGGAGGCGUUACCCGCAGAAGAAGCACCGGCUAACUCCGUGCCAGCAGCCGCGGUAAUUC
rnacentral:rRNA from 1 species